UUUUACAGAUGAAACAAGCUGAAGGGGAGACCAGGAUACUAAGAUCCUCUAGUUGAAGGUGGCAAUGUUGUGUUAGAACCCAGGUGACUCAGGCAGGAAGAUCCAGCCUGAAUUAUUACCUGAUAUUACUCUUCAUGACUCCAUAGUACUUACUUGGCAGAGUGAAUUCUCUAUGAACACUCCCAUCACCAAGGAAUCAACAGGAAUUGCCAGUGAAACAGAUCUAAAGGUGUGCUCUUCUGGACGGAAACAGUGGAAAAGCACCCUCCACCCCGAUUCCCUUUGUGGCUCCGUGCAGGCCCUGCUCACAGCAGUGGUGGGAACAUCCACUCCCAUCUCACAGAGCUGCUUGUCUGUGGCAAGU